rnacentral:rRNA from 1 species
AGGGUGAUGCCUGCCCAAUGGUUGUAUCUAAAAGCGGUUGAUAAAAGUUGACCUCGUAAGGACAAUUGAAUGGCCGCGGUAACACUGACCGUGAUAAUGUAGCGUAAUCAAUAGCCAAUUAAUUGUUGGCCAGUAUGAAUGGCGCCACGAAGGCCCCACUGUCUUAAGGAAAUUCCCAGUGAAAUUGAAUUCGUAGUGAAGAUGCUACGUCCAAUUUGUUAGACGAAAAGACCCCGUUGAGCUUUACUGGAGCACUUACAUGGCCCCGGCCUUCCCAUGCCUGGGAACCGGCCGAAUUUAAAUGGGCGGCUUAGAUUAUGUGGCAGCCCCCCGCUGGGGCAAAUGAAACACCACUCCCCCAUGUCAAAGGGGCUAACCCCCCCCCUUGGGGGGGACAGUGUAAGUAGGACAGUUUGGUUGGGGCGACCACCUUUUAAAAAGUAACGAAGGUGCGCUUAAGGUGCGCAAUUAAUGACUGAAGCCUGACUGCGAGGGGGACACCCCGAGCAGACACCCCAAAGCCCGCCCGAAAGG